AGUGCGCCGCCACCAACACACGCCCCACGCCUCACCUCUCAUGGCGCCCGAAGCCAUGUCCCGUCACCGCCACCAUGCGCCUCACUUCCUGUACUUUUUUCCAUUCCUUUGCUCUGCUCUCCUCCAGUCCGAACACAACCUUAGGCUGCGUUCGGUGCACGGGAUUUUCACAGGAUUUCUGCAGACCUAGUUUCCACGGGAAUAAAUUCCAGGAAGCCCGUUCGCUUCGCAGGAAGUAGUUUGUCUGUUCCACAGGAAAGCGUCACUAACCUAUACUUUUCACAGGAAAAAUAACAUCUACUCGUACCAAGGGAACGCGCGGUGAAAAUCCUCCUCUCGCUCCAUCACUCUCCCGCCCCAUCCCGCGCCCUUCUCGCGCGAAAUCGAGAUGGAUGACCACCGGCGCAGCAUGCCCAACCGGCGGAUCCGAGCACCUACUCCUCCUCCUCCACCUCCUCCACCUCAUCCGCCCCCUCCCUGUGACCUUCGAGCUCCACCCCCUGUUCCAUCGACACAAGGGUUGGAAGAUCUGAAAUUUGGGGGAAGUGAGGAGAUCUUGCAAGAAAUAGGCACCAACAAAAAUUGUGCUAGAGCUAGCUGGAAUCACAAAAUGAAGUCAUAUCUUAUUUGGCUCUUGAAAGAACAUGAUGUCCCAAGAUAUCGAACACAAAAUGCAUGGAGCAAAGAGGCUUGGAGAAGUAUUGUGAAAGCAUUCAAUAUAAAGUUUGGUUUAUCACUCACAGUAACUCAGAUCAAACAAAAGGAGCAGGAUCUGAAGAAAGAUUUUAAAGCUAUACAAGACUUGAUAUCUGAAAGUGGUUUUGGUUGGGAUCGUGAUAGAAUGAUGGUGGUUGCUCCGGACAGUGUUUGGGAAGCAUUAAAGGCCCGUAAGAAGAAAGAUGCCCUCUGAUGGCAAGACAAGUCAUACCCAUACUAUAAUGAUCUAUUUGCUCUAUAUGAUGGGCGCUACGCUCAAGGAAGGAGUUGUCGUGGCAUGGAUUAUUGUCCAAACAAGGCCACAGAACUCUCUCAGGUCACUACAUCAUAUUCGCAACAGUUGGAAGGUCCCGAGGAGCAUCAUCGCUCACCUACACCGAACUUACCUGCUCCUGGGGAAUCGUGCAUGCAUAUUGAUAUUGAAGAGGACAAUGGAAGCACUAAUUGGUUCUGCACCGAUGAUCCAUUAGACCUAGAAGCUGUGAACUCAACUCAAGUGAAAGAUUCUGCAUUACAUGUUCAAUCACAAGAUGCACUACCAACACCAUUUUCUUCAAAACAAGCCCCACAUAUGUCGAUGGAAAUUCCAAAAGACAUACGUAGAAAUUGUCAACCGUCUCAUUCUGUUCCUGAGCUUACUAGUGCUAAGAGGGGGGAAAGACAGAAGACUAAUUCUAGUAUUGAUGAUUUCCACGAGAGGUACCUGAGCCUGAAAAGAGAAGAGAUGGAACGGUUUGCAGCCAUCGAGGAGAGGAAAUUGGAGGAUCCCUAUAGCAUACAAAAAUGCAUUGCUGCAUUUGAGGGGUUGCCGGAUUUACAAAUGGGAGUUAUACUAAAAGCAGUUGACCUCUUCACCAACAACAAGGAAAACAGGGAAGUAUUCCUCUCAUUUUCAAUUGAUGCAUUACGUCUGGGUUGGUUAAGAAAUAAAAUUCAAAACACCUAGUGUACUAGCUAUGGGAAUAUGCUCCUUGGAGAAUGCUUUUGUAUGUUGCUGUAGGCACUUGUACUACUGAGUUAAUGGUACCAAAUUAUCAUGUAGUGCUAAGGUAAUAGGCUAGGAAAGUGUACGUGACUUUUGUGUAUGUGUUCCUGGUCAGAUGUGCUAGUACUAAUGCAAUGUUAAAUGAUACUUGAUCACAAAUCCUUUUGAUUGGCUAGAAUUACUUGCAGUACAAACCAAAUUGUUUUACAUUUAUUACAUAUGGUUCAUCGCCUUGCAUUGUAGUCAGCCCACAUUGCAUUUGGCAUUGCAUCUCGCAUGUCAUUCCCUGCUUGCCUCAUGCUGUCAAAUAAUGGCACAUCAACAUUGUAUUUGGUAUCUCCAUCUGGUACAUCUUCCAUAUUGCUUUCAUUUAUAUCUUCAGUACAUCUGCCCGGCAAUGACAUGUCACCAUCAUGUAGCCGUAUGAAAUUGUGCAUCACACAACAAGCCAUAGAAAUAUCAACCUGAGUGUCAAUAUCAUAAGACGUAGCAGCCUUUAGUAUGGGAUACCUCUUUUUUAAUAUACCGAUAAUUCUCUCAACAUGAUUCCGAAGCUGAGCAUGGCGGAGGUUGAACAAUUCUUUGGCAGAUUGUGGCCUUUGAUGGACUCUUCCCUGUUCUUGCAAAUGAUACCUUGUGCCCCUAUAUGGAGCAAUGAAUUGAGGUGUGUUUGCAUAACCCGCAUCUACAAGAUAGAAUUUACCAGGGGGUACACUAAAACCAUGCUUAAGUGAGUCUUGUAGAACUCUUGCAUCCGAAGCAGACCCCUCCCAACCAGGAUGUACAUGCACGAACUUUAGAUCAAAGUCACAUGCGACCAUGCAAUUUUGUGAAAGGCCUUGUUUUCUGUUUCUAUAUGGAUCUUGCUGCCCAGGUGGAAUGGUCAUGGGAAAGUGAGUGCCAUCAAUAGCUCCAAGACAAUUCUGUAAAUUUCAUGCUACAGUUAGAGAUAUGCAAACAUCAAAUUUGCCUAGUAUGAAUUUACCAUGUCAAAAUAGAACAUAAGUAGUAACUGAAAGUAUGCAAAUUUUCGUUGCCUUAAGAUGUGAUGUGGGUGUAGGGACGGCAAGCGUAUGUAGUUGCAUGAUAGUGAUGUAAUCGCAUUGAGCACAACUCGAAAAUAGUAACUAACCGUUGAUCCGCUGUGUUGAAAUAUAUCUUGCACUGUCCGAUUGCUUGCAUUUUUUUGAUAUUGUGUAUAGAAAUAUAGCUACUUGCUCUUCCACGAAUACAUAUGUUCCGUCUUCAAGUCUGCACUUCUCACACAAUUUUUUAACUAAGGCUUGAAAGAUCUCUCUCUCCAUGUGGAAUCGUCUGUGGCACAAGACCUCAUGGCCGUGCCUCCUCCCGUCAGGAGCAGCUUGAACCGAUGCCUCCCUGAAGCCAGAGUGUGAAUUUUUGUGUGCACUGGAUACGCCAAGACCCCGACCGACAAGUACCACGACGUCCGUCGAUCGCCAAGUACCCCUACGCGUGGAUACGCCAAGUUCCUCUUCGACCCGUGUACCACUACCGUCGCCGAAGAACCGUGUAAUGAACUGUCAAGUUCGACUACCUUCGUGUGUACCACUACUUCCCACGACGACCCGUGAACGACUACUUCCUCGACUAUUUUGAACCGCCCCGAAAUGCACGCUUUGAAGAUGGUUCCGGUAACGUUGCGAUUGUGCGGAUCUGUUCGACUACGUUGGUUCGUCUACUUCAUGGAUUCCGUCUUCUUCCUAGCAGGAUUUCAGGCAAGAUGACCAUCACCUUGGAUACCAUUACUAUCUUUGUUAUGCUAAUUGUCUCGAUGCUAU